GGUACUCGAGUGGCGAACGGGUGAGUAACACGUGGGUGAUCUGCCCUGCACUUCGGGAUAAGCUUGGGAAACUGGGUCUAAUACCGGAUAGGACCAUCGUUUAGUGUCGGUGGUGGAAAGUUUUUUCGGUGUGGGAUGAGCUCGCGGCCUAUCAGCUUGUUGGUGGGGUAAUGGCCUACCAAGGCGUCGACGGGUAGCCGGCCUGAGAGGGUGUACGGCCACAUUGGGACUGAGAUACGGCCCAG
rnacentral:rRNA from 1 species